CUACGUGCCAGCAGCCGCGGUAAUACGUAGGUGGCAAGCGUUGUCCGGAAUUAUUGGGCGUAAAGCGCGCGCAGGCGGAUUGGUCAGUCUGUCUUAAAAGUUCGGGGCUUAACCCCGUGAUGGGAUGGAAACUGCCAAUCUAGAGUAUCGGAGAGGAAAGUGGAAUUCCUAGUGUAGCGGUGAAAUGCGUAGAUAUUAGGAAGAACACCAGUGGCGAAGGCGACUUUCUGGACGAAAACUGACGCUGAGGCGCGAAAGCCAGGGGAGCGAACGGGAUUAGAUACCCCGGUAGUCCUGGCCGUAAACGAUGGGUACUAGGUGUAGGAGGUAUCGACCCCUUCUGUGCCGGAGUUAACGCAAUAAGUACCCCGCCUGGGGAGUACGACCGCAAGGUUGAAACUCAAAGGAAUUGACGGGGGCCCGCACAAGCGGUGGAGUAUGUGGUUUAAUUCGACGCAACGCGAAGAACCUUACCAGGUCUU
rnacentral:rRNA from 1 species